GACAGAGGGUGCGAACGUUGUUCGGAAUUACUGGGCGUAAAGCGCGUGUAGGCUGUUCGGAAAGUCGGGUGUGAAAGCCCUGGGCUCAACCUAGGAAGUGCACUCGAAACUCCCGAACUGGAGUCCCGGAGAGGAAGGCGGAAUUCUCGGUGUAGAGGUGAAAUUCGUAGAUAUCGAGAGGAACAUCGGUGGCGAAGGCGGCCUUCUGGACGGUGACUGACACUGAGACGCGAAAGCGUGGGGAGCAAACAGG
rnacentral:rRNA from 1 species